ACGGGAGGCAGCAGUAGGGAAUCUUCCGCAAUGGACGAAAGUCUGACGGAGCAACGCCGCGUGAGCGAUGAAGGCCUUCGGGUCGUAAAGCUCUGUUGUUAGGGAAGAACAAGUAUCGGAGUAACUGCCGGUACCUUGACGGUACCUAACCAGAAAGCCACGGCUAACUACGUGCCAGCAGCCGCGGUAAUACGUAGGUGGCAAGCGUUGUCCGGAAUUAUUGGGCGUAAAGCGCGCGCAGGCGGUCCUUUAAGUCUGAUGUGAAAGCCCACGGCUCAACCGUGGAGGGUCAUUGGAAACUGGGGGACUUGAGUACAGAAGAGGAAAGCGGAAUUCCACGUGUAGCGGUGAAAUGCGUAGAGAUGUGGAGGAACACCAGUGGCGAAGGCGGCUUUCUGGUCUGUAACUGACGCUGAGGCGCGAAAGCGUGGGGAGCAAACAGGAUUAGAUACCCUGGUA
rnacentral:rRNA from 1 species